CGUAGUCGAUGGGAAACAGGUUAAUAUUCCUGUACUUGGUGUUACUGCGAAGGGGGGACGGAGAAGGCUAUGUUGGCCGGGCGACGGUUGUCCCGGUUUAAGCGUGUAGGCUGGUUUUCCAGGCAAAUCCGGAAAAUCAAGGCUGAGGCGUGAUGACGAGGCACUACGGUGCUGAAGCGACAAAUGCCCUGCUUCCAGGAAAAGCCUCUAAGCAUCAGGUAACAUCAAAUCGUACCCCAAACCGACACAGGUGGUCAGGUAGAGAAUACCAAGGCGCUUGAGAGAACUCGGGUGAAGGAACUAGGCAAAAUGGUGCCGUAACUUCGGGAGAAGGCACGCUGAUAUGUAGGUGAAGCGACUUGCUCGUGGAGCUGAAAUCAGUCGAAGAUACCAGCUGGCUGCAACUGUUUAUUAAAAACACAGCACUGUGCAAACACGAAAGUGGACGUAUACGGUGUGACGCCUGCCCGGUGCCGGAAGGUUAAUUGAUGGGGUUAGCGGUAACGCGAAGCUCUUGAUCGAAGCCCCGGUAAACGGCGGCCGUAACUAUAACGGUCCUAAGGUAGCGAAAUUCCUUGUCGGGUAAGUUCCGACCUGCACGAAUGGCGUAAUGAUGGCCAGGCUGUCUCCACCCGAGACUCAGUGAAAUUGAACUCGCUGUGAAGAUGCAGUGUACCCGCGGCAAGACGGAAAGACCCCGUGAACCUUUACUAUAGCUUGACACUGAACAUUGAGCCUUGAUGUGUAGGAUAGGUGGGAGGCUUUGAAGUGUGGACGCCAGUCUGCAUGGAGCCGACCUUGAAAUACCACCCUUUAAUGUUUGAUGUUCUAACGUGGGCCCCUUACCGGGGUUGCGGACAGUGUCUGGUGGGUAGUUUGACUGGGGCGGUCUCCUCCUAAAGAGUAACGGAGGAGCACGAAGGUUGGCUAAUCCUGGUCGGACAUCAGGAGGUUAGUGCAAUGGCAUAAGCCAGCUUGACUGCGAGCGUGACGGCGCGAGCAGGUGCGAAAGCAGGUCAUAGUGAUCCGGUGGUUCUGAAUGGAAGGGCCAUCGCUCAACGGAUAAAAGGUACUCCGGGGAUAACAGGCUGAUACCGCCCAAGAGUUCAUAUCGACGGCGGUGUUUGGCACCUCGAUGUCGGCUCAUCACAUCCUGGGGCUGAAGUAGGUCCCAAGGGUAUGGCUGUUCGCCAUUUAAAGUGGUACGCGAGCUGGGUUUAGAACGUCGUGAGACAGUUCGGUCCCUAUCUGCCGUGGGCGCUGGAGAACUGAGGGGGGCUGCUCCUAGUACGAGAGGACCGGAGUGGACGCAUCACUGGUGUUCGGGUUGUCAUGCCAAUGGCACUGCCCGGUAGCUAAAUGCGGAAGAGAUAAGUGCUGAAAGCAUCUAAGCACGAAACUUGCCCCGAGAUGAGUUCUCCCUGACUCCUUGAGAGUCCUGAAGGAACGUUGAAGACGACGACGUUGAUAGGCCGGGUGUGUAAGCGCAGCGAUGCGUUGAGCUAACCGGUACUAAUGAACCGUGAGGCUUAACCUUACAACGCCGAAG
rnacentral:rRNA from 1 species